UACGGAGGGUGCAAGCGUUAUUCGGAAUUAUUGGGCGUAAAGGGCGCGUAGGCGGUUGAAUAAGUCAGAUGUGAAAGGCCUUAGCUUAACUAAGGAAGUGCCCUUGAUACUAAUUGACUUGAGUAUGGGAGGGGUAAGUGGAAUUCCUGGUGUAGCGGUGAAAUUCGUAGAUAUCAGGAAGAACACCGGUGGCGAAAGCGACUUCCUGGACCAAAACUGACGCUGAGGUGCGAAGGCUCGGGGAGCAAACGGG
rnacentral:rRNA from 1 species